rnacentral:rRNA from 1 species
UACGUAGGGGGCAAGCGUUGUCCGGAUUUAUUGGGCGUAAAGAGCGUGUAGGCGGCUUUACAGGUCCGUUGUGAAAACUGGAGGCUCAACCUUCAGAGGUCGACCGAAACCAUCUGGCUAGAGUCCGGGAGAGGAGAGUGGAAUUCCCGGUGUAGCGGUGAAAUGCGCAGAUAUCGGGAGGAACACCGGUGGCGAAGGCGGUUCUCUGGGCCUUACCUGACGCUGAGGAGCGAAAGCGUGGGGAGCGAACAGG